rnacentral:rRNA from 1 species
UACGAAGGGGGCUAGCGUUGCUCGGAAUCACUGGGCGUAAAGCGCCCGUAGGCGGAUCUUUAAGUCAGGGGUGAAAUCCUGGAGCUCAACUCCAGAACUGCCUUUGAUACUGGGGAUCUCGAGUCCGGGAGAGGUGAGUGGAACUCCGAGUGUAGAGGUGAAAUUCGUAGAUAUUCGGAAGAACACCAGUGGCGAAGGCGGCUCACUGGCCCGGUACUGACGCUGAGGUGCGAAAGCGUGGGGAGCAAACAGG